UACGUAGGGCGCAAGCGUUAUCCGGAAUUAUUGGGCGUAAAGAGCUCGUAGGCGGUUUGUCGCGUCUGCCGUGAAAGUCCGGGGCUCAACUCCGGAUCUGCGGUGGGUACGGGCAGACUAGAGUGAUGUAGGGGAGACUGGAAUUCCUGGUGUAGCGGUGAAAUGCGCAGAUAUCAGGAGGAACACCGGUGGCGAAGGCGGUCUGCUGGGCAGGAGGCGUAACAGCCUAUAAUGCUGGACACUGAGGCGCGACAGCGUGGGGAGCAAACAGG
rnacentral:rRNA from 1 species